rnacentral:rRNA from 1 species
CGGACUGCAGGCUGCAACUCGCCUGCACGAAGUUGGAAUUGCUAGUAAUCGUGGAUCAGCAUGCCACGGUGAAUACGUUCCCGGGUCUUGUACACACCGCCCGUCACACCAUGGGAGUCGGUAACACCCGAAGCCUGUAGUCUAACCGCAAGGGGGACGCAGUCGAAGGUGGGAUUGAUGACUGGGGUGAAGUCGUAACAAGGUACC